CUUUUCCUUUCUUUCCUAUUCUUCAGGUUCCAAACGGAGCCUAAAAUCUACCACAGGGUUCCGCGCAAACUCCAACCGCCAAAUCUCUUUGCCCCCAAAAAUCGCUAGGGCGCUUUUCUGAAAUUUCAAUCAAUUCCACUCUACGCUUUAAUGGAUUCAUCAUCUCCAGUUAAGCUAGGGUUUCUAUCGCGAGUUCUUCUUCCACCUAACCCAAAGGUUUGUUCUUCCCUCCUUUCCAAAAUCUGUACAUACGUACUCCCUGCUAACAUUCACGUUUAUUCAACUCCCUCUUUCCUGCUCGGAGAAGAAUCAAAAGCUAUUUUGUGAUUUUCUGUACCGGUUGAAGCAAAGAAUCAUUCUCCAGGGAAGCCGUCACCAGGUUUGAUUUGAUUUUUCUCCUUAAUUCUUACCCAGAGACAAGACUAGGGUUUUCAUUUCAGCCAUUAUCGUGUGAAAAAGAUAAUAAUGGUUAGGGAUCUGUACAGAUUAUACGCUUAAAGGGUUUGAAUUAACUGUAUUUGGGGUUUUUUGGUUCUCAUUCGGAUAUGAUUAUUGGGACUUUUGUUCUGCCGAGAAAACAUGAGAAUACUAAUUUGGGUUUUCGAUUUUUCCAUCAAAAGGACGUGGUCUGAUUUUCAUUAGUUGAGAUUUGAUUAGGUUUACUUCUGUAGCAAAAGAGCAGCAAACCUUCGAUAUCUUGCCACCAUUGUUGAACCAGAGCACUUUAAACUAUCAUCAAAAUCCAAAACCAAAAUCAGUAGAGAUUGUCUUUGCUCACCAUUUAUAUCUCUAAUAAGAUCUAAUGAAUCCUUUACUAGAGACCCGCCAAUCAAUAAUGUGACAUACCCUCGUGCUCUUAAUUUUAGUUGUAUACUCCAAAAAAGAUCCAACCUUAGUGGGUCAAUCAAUUAAAUGGAUUUUGUUCUUAUAGAGAACUCUUUUUCCCCACCUUGCUGAAUGACAUUGUGACCACUCCAUCAUGUAAGUUGCCUUUGGUGAUGGACCUUGAUGUUCCCUCCCUCUUUUCCACCUAUGCAAGUCUAGAACAGAUCAAUUUGCGAUAUUGGGUUGUAGUGGACAUGUGUUGAGAAACGGGCCCUUUGAAUUUAGUUCUAGGGAGAUUAGUAGCAUUAUUUAAGAUUGCAUUUGUGAAAUAAUUUAGCAAUGCAAAUUGUCAAUAUGCAAGUACAAGUUUUUUUUGUUACACUCCUAUAGGUAUAUAUUUACCUACACAAGUGAAAAAACUCGCUAGGCUUUGGGACACCAAUAAGAGGGACACUUUCAAUUCUAUAUUUGGUCUCAUUUAGAUACCAGGUCCUUUUUUUGCUACUGCAAUAAUACCAAAAGAAAUUGGUGCGAAAACUCUACUAGCAAUCAUGCAUGAGCCAAUUUUCUUUGCUCCCAUAGCCUUAAAAUCAUGGCUAGAGCGACUUUUUUCCAUUGCUUCUUCUUAGCUAUUGGAGUUAAUGUACUUUCUAUGUUGUGGGAGUAUAUAUUCCAUCUCCACAAGUCCGUACGGUUUAUGCCGGAUUGUACUAUAGUUUAUGUGCACACCAUCUGAGAUCUUCGUAGCAAAUAGCAAUAUGAGUGAGCUUACCGUAUGUUCUAGGAGUAGAUAUUCCAUCUUCUCCACAAGCCUUAUACGGUUAAUCUAGAGUGCUUUUGAUGAACGUGCAAUUAUCACUACAACAAUUAGUGCUUUCAAUAGCAGAAGAUAAUAGCCUUUUGGGGACUACGCUGUGAUAGGUGAGGCGUUCGUUCCUUGCCUUUUGAAAGAAACGGUAUAAAACUAGUAUGACUUCUCCUCUCUCUCUCUCUCUCUCUCUCUCUCUCUCUCUGUGUGUGUGUGUGUGUGUGUGUAGCUAUUUACAAUGUGAAGAUACAUACAGAGGAUAUUAUUUUGUAUACACACAUAAGUAAUUGAUUUUUUCUUGGGAUAGUUUUGUUACUGGUGAUUUGAGCAGCGCAGAACAAUAUGCUUGAAUAAAAUUUGUUACUAAAGUUAACCAUUCGAGUACCCAUGAUAGAGUGGAAAAAUUAUUUUCUUGUAAAAGAAUUUCUACCAACAUAAAUUUACAAUUACAGAGAACUUAAAGUCCCUUUAGCAUGGUGCUAUUGUAGUUGCAGGCUUGAGCAGAUGACCAUCAUGCGAAGGCAGCAUUUGUUUGAUUGAAGGAUUUUGAGAGCAAAUGGAAUGAUCAUUCCUUGGCCUCUCGUAGUUUGAACUGUGGAAGAAGGUGACACUACAACAGAAAAAGGCUGUCAAUAGCAUAAGAUUAUGGUGCUUAUCCGACUAUGCUAACAUCUCAUAGCGUAAACAAGACAAUUCUAUGGUGUGCAAAAAACAGGGUAACAAAGAGGCGCUGAAUAUUUUCGCACUACUAUGUACUUCACCCCAACUCAAAUGAUAAAUCUGAUAAUAUGUAGUAAUACGUUAUUUCUGUUAUAUAAUGACAUUGUUAUUCUGUUCACAGUUCACCAUCUCUGUCUGAAAAACUUCCUGUUGAACUUCCUGAAUUUUGCUACUUUUGUUAAAGUUCCAGCUAAGGUAUAGAUGAAUCUGCUUGAAUGGUCUAGUUGGGGCCAUAAUUGUUGCAACAUAAUGAAGGAGGAGAUUCCCCUUUAUUGCUCUGUCUCUCUUUGUAGAGUAAAAGAGUUUGUUUCACCCAUGGUUUUUAUUGUUUUUUUUGCUUAUCAAGAGAAAGAGAAGAAAGCAAGUUGACAGACUAAUUUAUAGUAGCACAUCAGGUAUAGGCAUGUAUAAAAACCGACUGCAAGAAUUGGCUCAGAGAAGCUGCUUCAACCUGCCAUCUUAUUCAAGUGUCUGAGAAGGUCCGGAUCAUGCCCCCCCGAUUUAAAGCUACUGUCAACUUCAAUGGAGAGACUUUGAGAGCCCUACAUUCUGCUCUAGGUUGAGGCUGGCAGAACAUGCUGCUGCGGAGAUAGCUCUGAACACACUUGCAAACAGAUGCCCUUCUAAGGCACUGGCCGGCUUCAAAAGUUUUGGUCGAUUGGUCGAAAGAGAAGAUCGAUGCUUCGUCACUUUUUUGCCGAAGAUUGAGAUAUAUUACCUAGUGUUGGUUGAAACUCAAUUGAAGUUUUUUGCACAGCUGCGAACUCCGUUUUUAUAUCAAGAAAACAUGUAGCUAGCUAGGCAACUUAGCUUUGAGAGAUUUGAACGUGGAUAUGAUAUCUUUGCAAAUGUGUUAGCAUGUGGAGGAUAGCUACUCUCGAUUUCCUUCUAAUUUGUAGUUGAGUACUGAUGUAGGAUGAUACAAGUCUCCUACUAGUUUUCUAAUUAAAGAGCCAUGUGUGAAUAAAUGGUAAUUCUUUUGCUCAA